GUGCUCACUUCGGCAGCACAUAUACUAAAAUUGGAAUGACAGAGAAGAUAAGCAUGGCCCCUGUGCAGAUAACACUCAAUCUCAUGAAGCGUUCCAUAUUUUU